CUCCGAGUCUCUUCUCCACAGAGUCAGACCGGUGGACUCAGUUUGAGUUGUCCUCACUGUGCUGUGGGAGCAGAGGGGGCGGUCCUUCUCGCUCCACGAACUCCCCUGACCCUGUGCUUGGGUAGGAUUCAGAGUCCUGCUCCGUGAGGUCUGGUGCUGGAGAAGCGCCUCUCAGUGCGGCGAUAUGUGGUCCCAGCUGGCUUUGUCUGUGCCAUAGCACUUCAGGGAGGACCGUCUUCUUCUACUGCAGACUGAGCCUCCGGCCUUGGCACCACAAGCCCCGCGGGUGGUGGACGCAGGGUGGCUUUGUCUUUUCCCACAGCACUCCAGGGAAACAGUGGCCUUUUCCUCCUACAGACUGUGCCCUCGGCCCAGCCACUGUGUCCAGGGGUGGCAGAUGCAGGAGAACUGGUUGGCUGACUGCCUCCUGCCUCCUGUCACCUGAUGCUGACGCUUGCAAGUCCUGGAAGCUGUCGGGGAUACUGAACAGCUGGAGCCUCCACUUUGUUGGAUUUGAGGGCAUCUCCAGGGUUUGCCAGGAGGCAUCUCCAGAAAGUUCAUCAAAAGCAUCUAUUCAGCUUCGUUUCUACCACAAAAUCUCUGGCUGUUAUGGAUGAACUGUGCCCAUCCCCCAAAAGAUAUGUUGAACCUAAUCUCCAGUACCUGGUACCUCAGAACACGACCUUAUUUGGAAAUCGAGGUGUUGGAGACAUAAUUAGUUAAGAUGAGAUCAUACUGGAGUAGGGUGGGCUCAUGAUCCAAUAGAACUGGAUGUGUCCUUACAAGAUGGCCCUGUGAAGAUACCAGAGACAAGAAAGGAAGAACAGUGAGUGAGAACAUCUUGUGAGGACGAAGACGAGAUUGAGUUAUGCAAGUCAAGGAACACCAGAGACUGUCGGUAAAACACCAGAAGCUAGGAAGAGACAAGGAAGGAUUGCCCUACAGCUUUCAGAGGGAGUAUGAGUCUGCCAACCCCUUCAUCUUGUACUUCUAGCUCCAGAACUGUGGGACAAUGACUUUCUGUACCCAGUUUGUGGUACUUUGUUACAGCAGCCCUAGGAAACAAACACAUUGGCUUUGACUAUAUUUUGAAUUUUCUUUUCAGAAUGAUACCGACAGCAUUAUUCCACAUGGUAAUCAUCAAAGCAAGCAAAUGCUAGAGCUCUUCCAUCUAAGUAUUUCCAGCCCUGAAUUGAAACCAAUUUCAAACAGUCUAUGAACUCGCAUACAUGUUGUCAAAUACAUGCUGCAGGGGAAUGAAUCUCCUAAGCUACUUAGCUGUACAAAUAUAACUAACAUUAUUUUCCUACAACUUGAUUUUGAAACAAUAGCUUUGCUGAGACAUAAUUGUUACUAAAAUUCACUAUUUUAGUGUACAUUUCACUGGUUUUUAGUACAUUCACAAAGUUGUGCAACCAUCACCAUUAUAUAAUUUUAGAAUAUUUUCAUUACCUCAAAAAGAAACUCCAUACCUAAUAGCAACCACUCCUCACCCUACUCCCUUUCCCUAGCCCCUGGAAACCACUAAUCUACUUUCUGUUUCCACUGAUUUGGCUAUGCUGGACAUUUCAUAUAAAUGGAAUUGUAUACUAUGUGACUGGCUUCUUUCACUUAGGACUAUGCAUUUAAGGUUCCUUUAUGUCUUUUCAUGACUCAACAGCUCAUUUCUUUUUAGUGCCAAAUCGAUUACAUUGUCUGGAUAUACCACGGUUUAUUUAUCCAACCCGAUUGUUUAUCCAUGUAAUGACAGAGAUCUUGGUUGCUUUCAAAUUUUGGCAAUCAUGAAUA